AGUGAGGUCACUGGGGGCGUGGCCUUGAAUGGGAUACUGGCUCCUCAGCUCCUUCCUUGCUUCCAGGUUGCUGUGAGUGAUGGAAAGCUAACACAUCUCCCAUCGAAAAGUUCACGCCUUUUUUCUAGAAGCCGUGGGAUGACGCCAGCUAUGUAUCCCACUGUGUGGACUAGGAAUUAGAGGAAGCCAAUCCCUGGAGAAAGAGACGGGAAAGAAAGAGGCAGAAACAUGGAAAAGCUAAGAGGAAAAGGACUGACGGAUACUCCUGACCGGAAGCCCAGGUCCUGGUGCUCCACAGGGCGCCACAUGGUGCUGCAAGCUAGCGCAGCCACUCCCGCUGAAGCUGGUUUCUGCCAUCUGCUGCCCGAAAAGACCUGCACCUAUGUCCCCACCUGGACUGGGGGCUCUGAAUGCAAGGGCAGUGACCAGCCACGUCAUAGCAAUAUUUUACACAGAUGGAUGAAUGAUAAAGACCAAAUAUCUGAAAAUCUUCAAAAAGCAUGGAUAAUAAGAAGCUUACUAGGAAAGAGUCUUGGGUUGGGAGUGAAAAGCCUAUGUAAUGAUUUUGAUUCUACUACUAAAUAACUGUAACCAUAGAUAAUGCAUUAAAUCUUUCUGGGCCUCUAUUUGGUCCUGGAGAUAACAUUAAAUGGUUGGAAGACA